AUAAACUUCACAUGCAAUUUCUAGCAUAUGGUGUUCACCCAAGUAAUAAUCUGCUAUUGUUAACCAGGUAUCAUCGAUGAAAAACAUGGGUCGUUUUCGCGUACUCUUCUUCAGGAUAAGCCUGAGAUCACGGAAGAAAUGAUUCGUGGGUAUAUGAGCAAUUCUGAACUUGAGACUGCUAUACAAGACUUUGGGUGGCGCUGUGCUAAUGUCUCUAGGAUAUACAGGACCCGAGCAUCAAGGAGAUGGCGGAGCAGAUCGCCAAGGACCCGUCCUUCAGCGAGAUGCCCCGUAAAUCUACUGUAUGAUCAAUCAAAACACGUUUUGUCCAAAGUCCAAACUUAAUGGUGUGAUAUUGUGGCAUAUUUACCCUGGAGCUAGCAUAUAUAUGGAGCUGACUUUGUUCCUGGAGGAGCAGACACAGAGGAGGAAUCUGCUACCUCAAAGCAGUUGAUCGACGCCGGGAGGGUGGGUACGUGAUGUCGGAGGCUGCCGGGAGGGUGGUGACGAGCUACCGAAGAGAUGAGUUCUGGCUCUCCUCGAUGCCAGGACGAGGCGCUGUUGCCGAUCGGACGUGGACUCGAUUGAUUUUGAUUUGAAAUAUGACGGGUUGUAAUGUAAAAUGCACUUCAGUUCAAAAUUUCCUCCCCUUGCGAGAGGUAUUCUUGGACGGAGGGAGUAGAAGAUUAGUUAUAGGAUUUUGUUUUAUUUCUGUGCAAUUUUCUUUUUAUUGGAUACUUAUAAAGACAUGGU